rnacentral:rRNA from 1 species
UACGGAGGGUGCGAGCGUUGUCCGGAAUCACUGGGCGUAAAGGGCGCGUAGGCGGCUGGGGAAGUCUGUGGUGAAAGCUCGUGGCUACAACUACGAGUCGGCCCAUAGAUACUCCGUCAGCUCGAGCACUGUAGAGGCAGGCGGAAUUCCGGGUGUAGCGGUGGAAUGCGUAGAGAUCCGGAAGAACACCGGUGGCGAAGGCGGCCGUGCUGGGCAGCUGGCUACACUGAGGCGCGACAGCG